UACGGGGGGAGCAAGCGUUGUUCGGAUUUACUGGGCGUAAAGGGCGCGUAGGCGGCCACCGCAAGUCGAUUGUGAAAUCUCCGGGCUUAACCCGGAAAGGUCAACCGAUACUGCGGGGGCUAGAGUGCAGAAGGGGCAACUGGGAAUUCUCGGUGUAGCGGUGAAAUGCGUAGAUAUCGAGAGGAACACCUGCGGCGAAGGCGGGUUGCUGGGCUGACACUGAGGAACGAAAGCCAGGGGAGCAAACGGG
rnacentral:rRNA from 1 species